rnacentral:rRNA from 1 species
GAGUUUGAUCCUGGCUCAGGAUGAACGCUAGCGGCAGGCUUAACACAUGCAAGUCGAGGGGUAUAGUCCUUCGGGACUAGAGACCGGCGCACGGGUGCGUAACGCGUAUGCAAUCUGCCUUUCACAGAGGGAUAGCCCAGAGAAAUUUGGAUUAAUACCUCAUAGUAUUAUGAAAGGGCAUCCUUUUAUAAUUAAAGUCACAACGGUGAAAGAUGAGCAUGCGUCCCAUUAGCUAGUUGGUAAGGUAACGGCUUACCAAGGCAACGAUGGGUAGGGGUCCUGAGAGGGAGAUCCCCCACACUGGUACUGAGACACGGACCAGACUCCUACGGGAGGCAGCAGUGAGGAAUAUUGGUCAAUGGGCGCAAGCCUGAACCAGCCAUGCCGCGUGCAGGAUGACGGUCCUAUGGAUUGUAAACUGCUUUUGUACGAGAAGAAACACUGAUUCGUGAAUCAGCUUGACGGUAUCGUAAGAAUAAGGAUCGGCCUACCUCCCGGCAACAGCCCG